rnacentral:rRNA from 1 species
GACGAACGCUGGCGGCGUGCCUAACACAUGCAAGUUGAGCGACGAACCAGGGCUUGCCCUGGGGCAAAGCGGCCAACGGGUGAGUAACUCAUGGGUAACCUACCCCGAUAACCGGGACAACCCGCGUAAACUCGGGCUAGUUCCGACUGUACACACUGGACUUCGGCUCAGUGCGUAAUGGAAGCUUCCGCCUCCGUAUCGGAAGGAGCCUCCGGCCAUUUAUUUGGUUGGUGGGGUAACGGCGAACCACGAGCGCGAUGGGUAGCUGGUCUGCGGGGACGAUCGGCCACACUGGGACUGAGACACGGCCCAGACUCCUACGGGAGGCAGCAGUGGGGAAUCUUGCGCAAUGCGGGAAAGCGUGACGCAGCAACGCCGCGGGGGGGAAGAAGGCCUUGGGGUUGUAAACCCCGUUGAGGGGGGAGGAAGGUGCGGCGGUGAAUAGCCGUCCGGACUGACGGUACCUACACAAGAAGCCCCGGCUAACUACGUG